rnacentral:rRNA from 1 species
ACGCGAAGAACCUUACCUACUCUUGACAUCCAGAGAACUUGGCAGAGAUGCCUUGGUGCCUUCGGGAACUCUGAGACAGGUGCUGCAUGGCUGUCGUCAGCUCGUGUUGUGAAAUGUUGGGUUAAGUCCCGCAACGAGCGCAACCCUUACCCUUUGUUGCCAGCGGUUAGGCCGGGAACUCAAAGGAGACUGCCAGUGAUAAACUGGAGGAAGGUGGGGAUGACGUCAAGUCAUCAUGGCCCUUACGAGUAGGGCUACACACGUGCUACAAUGGCGCAUGCAAAGAGAAGCGACCUCGCGAGAGCAAGCGGACCUCAUAAAGUGCGUCGUAGUCCGGAUUGGAGUCUGCAACUCGACUCCAUGAAGUCGGAAUCGCUAGUAAUCGUAGAUCAGAAUGCUACGGUGAAUACGUUCCCGGGCCUUGUACACACCGAAGGGC